rnacentral:rRNA from 1 species
AGAGUUUGAUCCUGGCUCAGGACGAACGCUGGCGGCGCGCCUAACACAUGCAAGUCGAACGAGAGAGAGGGAGCUUGCUUCUUCAAUCGAGUGGCGAACGGGUGAGUAACGCGUGAGGAACCUGCCUCAAAGAGGGGGACAACAGUUGGAAACGACUGCUAAUACCGCAUAAGCCCACGGCUCGGCAUCGAGCAGAGGGAAAAGGAGCAAUCCGCUUUGAGAUGGCCUCGCGUCCGAUUAGCUAGUUGGUGAGGUAAUGGCCCACCAAGGCGACGAUCGGUAGCCGGACUGAGAGGUUGAACGGCCACAUUGGGACUGAGACACGGCCCAGACUCCUACGGGAGGCAGCAGUGGGGAAUAUUGCACAAUGGGGGAAACCCUGAUGCAGCGACGCCGCGUGGAGGAAGAAGGUCUUCGGAUUGUAAACUCCUGUUGUUGAGGAAGAUAAUGACGGUACUCAACAAGGAAGUGACGGCUAACUACGUGCCAGCAGCCGCGGUAAAACGUAGGUCACAAGCGUUGUCCGGAAUUACUGGGUGUAAAGGGAGCGCAGGCGGGAAGACAAGUUGGAAGUGAAAACCAUGGGCUCAACCCAUGAAUUGCUUUCAAAACUGUUUUUCUUGAGUAGUGCAGAGGUAGGUGGAAUUCCCGGUGUAGCGGUGGAAUGCGUAGAUAUCGGGAGGAACACCAGUGGCGAAGGCGGCCUACUGGGCACCAACUGACGCUGAGGCUCGAAAGUGUGGGUAGCAAACAGGAUUAGAUACCCUGGUAGUCCACACCGUAAACGAUGAUUACUAGGUGUUGGAGGAUUGACCCCUUCAGUGCCGCAGUUAACACAAUAAGUAAUCCACCUGGGGAGUACGACCGCAAGGUUGAAACUCAAAGGAAUUGACGGGGGCCCGCACAAGCAGUGGAGUAUGUGGUUUAAUUCGAAGCAACGCGAAGAACCUUACCAGGUCUUGACAUCCGAUGCAUAGCACAGAGAUGUGUGAAAUCCUUCGGGACAUCGAGACAGGUGGUGCAUGGUUGUCGUCAGCUCGUGUCGUGAGAUGUUGGGUUAAGUCCCGCAACGAGCGCAACCCUU